CUGCCCUCAAGCACGGCUUGUGUGUUGGGCCCUCGUCCCUCCCUUCCGGGGGGGACGGGCCCGAAAGGCAGCGGCGGCACCGCGUCCGGUCCUCGAGCGUAUGGGGCUUUGUCACCCGCUCUUGUAGGCCCGGCCGGCGCCUGCCGACCCCCAACCUUUUUUUAACCAGG
rnacentral:misc_RNA from 1 species